rnacentral:lncRNA from 1 species
AAAUUAUUGUUUUAGUCACAGAUCAUCAAAUUUUAAGGUCACAAAUCAAAUCGUUGAGGCCAUAGAUUAUUGUUUUAGUCACAGAUCGUCAAAUUUUAAAGUCCCAGACCAAACUUUAAGGUCACCCCUUUCAUCGGUCCCAUCCAGCACCAAUCUUGGUCACAAAUCACCACCAUCCAAUCGUCGAUUGCACUGUACCACCGCAACACCACACCCGAUCUUGAUCCAAUUCCACCACAGCACACAAAAAAAAACCAUUAUCACCGUCUGAACCACACCAUCACCACCGCCAAAUUCACCACCAACACCGUCACCGUCAACAAUACGGAGAUCACCACACUGCACAACACCACAACCACCAUCCAGCAGAAAACCCCAAAC